rnacentral:rRNA from 1 species
UGAACGUGGAAUCGCUAGUAACCGCAGGUCAGCACACUGCGGUGAAUACGUUCCCGGGCCUUGUACACACCGCCCGUCACGUCAUGGAAGCCGAGAACGCUUGAAGUCGUUGAGCUAACCCUUUUUGGGAGGCAAACGCCGAGGGCGGGCUUGGUGACUGGGACGAAGUCGUAACAAGGUAGCUGUACCGGAAGGUGCGGCUGGAUCACCUCCUUUUAGGGAG